rnacentral:rRNA from 2 species
GACGGAGGAUGCAAGCGUUAUCCGGAAUGAUUGGGCGUAAAGCGUCUGUAGGUGGUUUUUAAAGUCUUCUGUCAAAGAUUAGGGCUUAACCCUGGGCCGGCAGAAGAAACUUAGAAGCUUGAGUUCGGUAGGGGCAGAGGGAAUUCCCGGUGUAGCGGUGAAAUGCGUAGAUAUCGGGAAGAACACCAAUGGCGAAAGCACUCUGCUGGGCCGCGACUGACACUGAGAGACGAAAGCUAGGGGAGCAAACGGG